GUGCUCGCUUCGGCAGCACAUAUGCUAAAAUUGGAACGAUACAGAGAAGGUUAGCAUGGUCCCUGUGCAAGGGUGACACGCAAAUUCGUGAAGCAUUCCAUAUUUAA
rnacentral:snRNA from 1 species